rnacentral:rRNA from 1 species
AUGGCUGGCGGCGGCGGCGGCGCGUCGCCGGCGCGGGACGGCGGGCGGGAGGAGUGGCUGCGCAUCUACGACCGGAUGGUGGCCGUCCUGCGGAAGAGCCACCGGGACGUGGAGGCGCUGCUCGCCGACCGCAAGCGCCUCGAGGCCGUCCUCAAGAUCCAGCACGACUUCUGGCUCCACCGCGACGCCGUCCUCCGGGACCGCCUCGACGAGACGCGGAGGGUGGAGGACUGCCUGCGGCGGGGCGACGCCGCCAAGCUCGACCUGCUCCUCGGCGACAAGGACCUCGAGGUGCGCCGCCACCGGAUCUACAUCGAACACCAAGAUGGUGACUUGGAGGAUUUCAAAAGAGAUGCAGCUGCUUUGGCUCAAGAAAACAAUGAAUUGAAGAUAAAACUGAAGGAAGCUGAAAGUUGUGCCGAGCUCAGCGAGCCAACUACAGACCCCGAGCACAGUGGAAGAGAUUUGAGAGCAGAGAUAAGGAAGCUAAAGAAAGCCUAUAAGGCCCUGAGCUCGCAGAAGGAGAGCGAGGUUUCCGCGUUACUCGCAGAAAAGGAUUUCGUGUGGAACCAGUACAAGACAAUGGAGAAGGACUACGAGACGCUCCUUAAGAAGAAGAAGAUGGAGGCAGCACAGGCUACUGAAGCAGCCGAGAAGCUUCAGCAGAAGGUGGAGGAGCUGCAACUGCAAGUGUCAGCCCAAAAGAAGGAUGACGAUGUUGGCAGAUUGCAAGCGGAAGCUAAUGAUGCCAAAAAGAAGGUGCUGGCUCUUGAGGAUAAGCUACAAAAAAUGCACUCCCUGGUCAGUGAGAAAGACGAUGAGAUCCAAAAACUCAAGAGUGGGCACCUUCAGGCUAGUCAAAAGCGGAAGAAGGAUAUCAGCGGGACACAUAGAAGAUCUAGGUCUGAAGGUCCAUCUGUACGGGGGAAGUCUAAAAGUAAUCCUCGGAGGCAAAUGGCAGAAGAAGAUCAACCCGAGACCAGUCAGAAGCGUCAGUGUGCCUCUUCGUUAUCAAGUGGACUGGCGCUCCGGCGCUGCUCCUCGAGGAUGACGCACCUGAAACCCGCGUCGUCGUCGUCGUCGCCUGCGCCCCAGCAGGUACUCUUCCACUCCAGUUUCAAGCUGCUGUUAGACCUCCAUGAUGGCUGUGUUUAG